rnacentral:rRNA from 1 species
UACGUAGGCAGCGAGCGUUGUUCGGAGUUACUGGGCGUAAAGGGUGUGUAGGCGGUUGUUUAAGUUUGGUGUGAAAUCUCCCGGCUCAACUGGGAGGGUGCGCCGAAUACUGAAUGACUUGGAGUGCGGGAGAGGAAAGUGGAAUUCCUGGUGUAGCGGUGAAAUGCGUAGAUAUCAGGAGGAACACCGGUGGUGUAGACGGCUUC